CUUCUAGUGAGCUCAACCCAAGGCAUAUUUAGAUGUUCCAUUGCCUCUGAGAAGUUGCUUCCUUUUCUAAGUUAGGAACCUGUGAAGAGGCAAAGGAUUGUGAGGAGCCCUUUCAGCAGGGGGAAGGCUGCUGGUCAUGUAGAGGAAGAAUCUUCCAGACUAGCCAACUCAGCCCACAGCGGGAGCGUUGGAACUGGGUGAACAUCAAGGUCUCCUUCCAAGCCAUUCUAUGAUUCUUUGGUUCUGUGAUAUAAGAAGACCUUGAGAUAUUACGU